GCUUCGUUAGCUCAGCUGGUAGAGCACCUGACUCUUAAUCAGGGUGUCCGGGGUUCGAACCCCCGACGGAGUACCA
rnacentral:tRNA from 1 species